rnacentral:lncRNA from 1 species
AAUGAUAUCGGAUUCAAGUUAUUUUUUGUAGAGAUGAUCUUUGAAUGAAUAUCUACAAAAUAAAUAGUUUGGAUUAGUAAAAUAUAAUACGGAUUGGACCCUACAAGAGUGUCCUUCAAAUAAAUUUAUUUGCAAUACAAUACGGAUUGGUGAAAUACAAUAUAUAUUGGGCCCUACAAGAGUGUCCCUCAAUCGAAGCUCCCUAUAUAUAUAUAUAUAUAUCUUAUGCUUCCUUGUUGUUCACCCUUUUAGUGCUUUUCUCUAGAAAGCAACAGAGUUGACCCAAGUUAAAUAAUUACUUUUGUCCCAGACUUACAUGAUUCACAAUUUGUAUAUGAUGCCUCAGUACUAACUAUUGGUGAUGAUUGAAAAUGGAGGCUUCCAUCCGAGUCUCCCUCGCAUAUGAUAACUAAGUUAUCUGUUCAUAAUCUAGACACAAAAUGCAAACUGUGCGAAUAAAUCAGUUCAUUGUACCGUCUCUCAAGAAAAU